UAUUAUCAAAUGGAUAAACAACUCACCCUUUCUAUUUUUUUUUGUUAAAUAAGUUCUCCAACUCCUUUCUAUCACCGAUGCAAUUUUUUUUUCCUAACCUAAUGGCUGACCAGAAUAUUUUCACCGUCACCACCGUUGAAGACACCGUUCCCGACAGCGGAACAACCACUGGCAACACAGUAGUGAACCCGCAAAGCCGCUGGAACCAUUGAUUCCGGCCAAAGGAAAUCUCUGUCAAUAUUGUCCAUCGGAUCUACAGAACAAAACUAUUCAUCAGUUAGUCCAAUAGACAACCCUACUCAGCCCAUGAUCUCUGUAGACAACAUAGCAUAUGAC